GACCGCAUAGCUCAGUUGGCAGAGCAUUGGGCUAGUACUCCAAUGGUCGCAGGUUCGAAUCCCACCGUGGCCA
rnacentral:tRNA from 1 species